rnacentral:rRNA from 1 species
GAUGAAUGCUGGCGGCGUGCCUAACACAUGCAAGUCGAGCGGCAGCGAGGGGUGCUUGCACCCUGUCGGCGAGCGGCGAACGGCUGAGUAACGCGUAGGAAUUUGCCCCAAAGUGAGGAAUAACUGCCCGAAAGGGUAGCUAAUGCCGCAUAUGGUCUUCGGAUUAAAGGAUUUAUCCGCUUUGGGAGAAGCCUGCGUUGGAUUAGGUUGUUGGUAGGGUAAUGGCCUACCAAGCCGACGAUCCAUAGCUGGCCUGAGAGGAUGAUCAGCCAGACUGGAACUGAGACACGGUCCAGACUCCUACGGGAAGCAGCAGUGAGGAAUCUUCCACAAUGGGCGAAAGCCUGAUGGAGCAACGCCGCGUGAAGGAUGAAGGCCUUCGGGUUGUAAACUUCUUUUAUGAGUGAAGAAUAUGACGGUAACUCAUGAAUAAGCACCGGCUAACUACGUG